rnacentral:rRNA from 1 species
CCCGUAGAUGUUCUGGGCAGCACGCGCGCUACAAUGGUCUUCGCAAACGGAUGCAUUCUCGAAGGAGAAUGCCAAUCUUGGAAUCUAUGCCUUGGUCGGGACAGUUGCUUGCAAUUUUUCGACUCGAACCAGGAAUUCCUUGUAAUCGUGAUUCAUCACAUCACGAUGAAUACGUCCCUGCCCUUUGUACACACCGCCCGUCGCUCCUACCGAUCGAAGAGUUAGGUGAAUUGUUUUGAUCGAUAAGAUUUGACUAUGGUCAACUCUCGUUGUGAAAUUCUGUGAAUCUGACUGUUUAGAGGAAGGAAAAGUCGUAACA